CAAACAGGUACAAAAACAGACAGAAAAGGCAGAGUUAAAAGAGGUGUGAACUGAAGUUCUGUAUCAAGUAUUGGACUGUUAUGUUAAGUCUGCCCUGAUAAAGUUUUGAAAAAUAUUUGGUUUUUAUAUCUGAAGUUUUUUGCAAAGGACUGGCUUUGGUUUUAUGACCAGUUUUAUCUCUGAAAUUGUCUGCCUAGAUUUUGGCCAAGGUGUUCUAUUAACUGUCAAAUUCGAUUAAAUUUAAUCACGUUUUUCUUUCUAGGUUACUUUCUAAAAUGUUCCUACAGACCAUAAAAAAUGCCCACGAAGAACCAAGUUGUUGUUUUAUUCCUAGCUUUAAUGUUGUUUGUGUUAUUGCUGUAGAGGUUUAGAUAAUUUUAUUUUACCUUCUGUAGCAAUAUUUUAGUUGCAUGUAAAGUCAUGCCUAGUUAAAAUAGUGUAACACGUGCACAUUUGGAAUCAACAUUAUUUAAUAUGUUUUGCUGUUUCUUACAACUGACAGUUUAUAUUAUUUUAAUGUUGUAAUUUAGUCAUUUUAAGUACAUUGAAUUAAUUCCUGUCGUUAAAUAAGUAUCUUUUUUCUUCAGUAGCUCAACUUAUUUCCUGAUUCUACCCGUUUGAGAUUGUGCUUUUGACUGGUAAAGUCACCAACAAAUAUCUGUUACUGUUUUUCAAAUAACAUAAUAAUAUGAAAGAUUUUCUGGCAGGGAAACAUAGAUCAGUAAUGUAGCAGCAAAUCACAUCCUAAUACAAUGUGGGAAACGAGGACUUGGGAGAUUCUUUGGACCUCUUAAUUUCCAGGCCACUUGAUAACAGAUACAGUUCAUUACACAGGAAAAUUGCUUGAUCUUGGGAAAAGAGGGUGCUGGAGAGGCCAUGGCUAACAAUUCCUGUUAUAGUGAUGAGUAUAUCUGGAAAAUACAUAUAUUUUAAGUAUCUUCUACAAGAGAGAACUACCAUCUAUGGCUGGUAUAGUGAGAGAGUCCUAAUCGGAAGCUGACACAGAAGGAGAUCACAAUUUGUCUCAGAGUGCUUAACCGGAACUUAACCUGAUAGGAGACAAAAAAGCUGAAAAGGUGAUUGCCCUUUUUAAAUGAGCUACCAGGGAUUAGCCAUCAUAGUUUAAUACCAUUCCAUAUGGUGUUAGUAUGCCUGAGUUCUG
rnacentral:lncRNA from 1 species